UAUCGACGAGUUUGAUCCUGGCUCAGAACGAACGCUGGCGGCAUGCCUAACACAUGCAAGUCGAACGAUGCCUUCGGGCAUAGUGGCGCACGGGUGCGUAACGCGUGGGAAUCUGCCCUUGGGUUCGGAAUAACUUAGAGAAAUUUGAGCUAAUACCGGAUGAUGACGUAAGUCCAAAGAUUUAUCGCCCAAGGAUGAGCCCGCGUAAGAUUAGCUAGUUGGUGGGGUAAAGGCCUACCAAGGCGACGAUCUUUAGCUGGUCUGAGAGGAUGAUCAGCCACACUGGGACUGAGACACGGCCCAGACUCCUACGGGAGGCAGCAGUGGGGAAUAUUGGACAAUGGGCGAAAGCCUGAUCCAGCAAUGCCGCGUGAGUGAUGAAGGCCUUAGGGUUGUAAAGCUCUUUUACCAGGGAUGAUAAUGACAGUACCUGGAGAAUAAGCUCCGGCUAACUCCGUG
rnacentral:rRNA from 1 species